CAUGAGGAAUUGGUAAUGUGCCAUGUUUGAGUGAUGCACUUACAUCCAACAAUCCUCAGGGUUCCAAUGCUGCAAGAGAAUCCAGCUGGCUCUGCUGUUCUCUGAGGAUGAAAACAGUUUCAAGCAGGCAUGCUCACAUGUCAAGAAAAGAAAAAGUCACAUCCACUGCUAUAAACCAAA
rnacentral:lncRNA from 1 species